rnacentral:rRNA from 1 species
GUAUACAGUCACACCACUGUGAAUGAGCCCAAUCCCAGCUGACCCUGGAAGCCAACAGGGUCAGGCCUGAUUCAUUGUGGAAUGGGAGAAAUUUUGGAACCAAAGAACAGGAACCCUUUUCU